GUCUACGGCCACACCACCCUGAACGCGCCCGAUCUCGUCUGAUCUCGGAAGCUAAGCAGGGUCGGGCCUGGUUAGUACUUGGAUGGGAGAAACCACACAGAGCAGUAAAGU
rnacentral:rRNA from 1 species